UCUGAAGUCAGUUUUUGGAGCAGCAAAAGGAGCUGCAUAUUUUCUCAAAAUCCAUGAGGACUGGAAACUCCUUAUCUUGCGUGAGCUUUUCAACAGAUGGCCUAUGGUAACAUGUUGGCAAAAAACAACAACAAAAGACAAGAUUAAAAUGUAUGUUAAAGAUUUAUUUUUCUAAGAGGACUGGUGCUGAUGUUCUUCUUUCCAAAUAUGGAAAUCAGAUCAGGAUAAGCUUACAUGUACCCCAAUUGUCCUCUUUUAAUUUGUCAAGGUCUUUAAUACCCCUUCUCCUUCCCCACCCCCAGUUCCCUGGAAAAAGUCCUGAAUGGGAAGAAGGCAAUUAUCAGGGACUACAGUAGAUAUCCUUAUCCUUGAGAGACAGGUUCCAAGAUACUUACCAGUGAAUGCCUGAAGCCACACUAUUGAAUGCUCUCUGUAUUGUGUUUAUUUUUUCCUAUAUGUACCUGUUGACAAAAUUUAAUUUAUAAACUAGGCUCAAUAGAAGUUUAACAGUGCUAAUAAUAAAACAGAACAAUUAUAACAAUAUACUGUAAUAAAAGCUAUAGGGAUGUGCACUUUCUAUGCAUGUUCUACCACCCUACAAAUAUUCGUUCACUAUUUUCAGACCAAGGUUGACCUUGGGUAACUGAAACUAUCAAAAACCAAAACCAACCAUGGAUAAGGAGGAACCACUGUGCUAAUUCCCCAGAGAGAGCGGGGGGGGAAGCUUUGUAUUCCUGUCUCUCCUGAUACCACAAUUGAAAUCAUCCUUCAUUCUCCAGCCUGCCUGCUCAACCUCCGCCACCUCUGAGCUGCUGUCAUGCCUCAUCAAUGAGUGUUCUUCUAGGGAUAAGUCUUCUUUCAUUGGUACGAGGAAAUUCUUGGGUAAUUGUUAAACUGGAAAUUGCUUUAAAAAAAAAACCCUCCAGUCUAUCUUCUAUAACACUUUAAAAGUUAAGACUUACCAUUCACAUAAUCACAAGCUGACAGCAAUCUGCAGGUUGAGUGAAUCUGAUUUUUUCUCUUCCAGAAGCAGGUGGGUUGAUAUAAUGCCAGCCUAAAAUAGAAAGAUUUAUUUAUAGCUUCAGCAGAAUGAGAAAAGAGCUGGAUUAAUCAAG
rnacentral:lncRNA from 1 species